rnacentral:rRNA from 1 species
GAAACCGCUUAGAGGCAAACGGGUGGACCCGCAAUGUGUCGACUCGGGGGAUUCAACCGGGCCGUUGCGCACGGGACGCGCUGGGGUUAUGCGGAGCCGUAAAGCCCGUGCUCCGGCGUGGUCUCCGGGCGGCCUGGUGCACUUUCCUCGGGUCGAUAGCCACGGCCGGCUCUCCGUGCGGCCAGAAGCCUGCCGCUGGUAAGGUGACCGCGGGCCCCCGCGGCCCGCGGUGUUAUAGACCAGCUCGUCCGUUGAGCUCGUCGGAGGGCCGAGGAAGGUUGCCGCGUCCCGUCACCCUCCGGCCAUCCUUGCUCGUCACGACUGGGGUGUACUGUCCCGUCAGUGCUCUCCCGACCGCGAGCGUAGGAAGGGCUGGUACGGUGUGGGACUUUGCUUCGGGCCAGUGGCGAAUCGGUCGGUCCCCCACCCGACC